rnacentral:lncRNA from 1 species
CGACGGUCGCCUAACAGUCACUUGGCUGGAGACAGUCAGCAGCGAACAUGCUGUGCUGCUUUCCCAGGCCUCCAGGCCGCAGCCUCAGGACCCCGCCCAGGGAAAGCACUUGGGAGUGAGUGAGAGGAUGGAUCACUGGGUCCAGACGCUCCAGGCCACUGGCCAGGAACCUUCCUGCCCUCAUGGGCAGCACAGGGCAGGUCUCACCAGACCCAGCGACCACUGGCCCUGAGAUGAGAGGGAGCCCAGGGCAGGUCUCCCUGGGCCUGGCCACCACACACUCGGAGCCACUGAGUCCAGGACAGGACCAUUUAGGAUUGGCCACCUCUAUUGGAAAUCAGGUGGCGGAGAGCCUGUCACAGGCCUGCCUGGUGAGGAUAGUGAAGACAGGCUGGUGGUGCACCCCAUCGAAGCCCCUGGAGAAGCCCAUCCCGGGUAGCUGCCCCGUCUGUGGCGUCUCCUUCCCAGACUCCUCCGGGAUCUGCAUCGCUUCCCUACAUGACAGGAUGCUGGGAAGAUGUGGAUUCACAACAGUGCAAGAGGAGCCCAGAGGAGGCACAGACAUUGGGCACCACAUCGCUACAUGAGCGAAAGCCUGAGGAGAGGAAGGGUGGAACAGUUGCAGAGUGUCUCUCACUUCUCAGAUAGUGAGUUAUGGAGCAGCAGCCCUGUGCCCUUGAGUGCAAGCAGAGAGCAGAUGCCAGUCUCUGUCCUCGUGGAGCUGACAGUGGGGACAAGCAGAGAGACAGUGUCUCAGGCUGCCCUGAGGAAGGCAGAGGUGGUCACAGCACAGAACAAGGACUGCCUCCCAUGGAACCUUCUCUCAGGCUCUCAGGACUGCCUGGGCCAGGACUGCUCCACUGGACAUGGGGAGAGGAUGGGGCCAGACCAUGCACAGACUGGGCAGGAAGCUCAUGUGUCCAUUGCUGUGGGUGCCCCGAACAGGUAGUGUGGGAGGAAAGGCCAGGCCUCUCAUUCUGCUGUCCACCUGCCUUCCCCGGAUCCACGUCUUCUGUCCUUGACUCAUCGCUGGAGCUGCACUCCCAGGAGAAUAUCCUAGCUGAACUCCUGGGCCAGCAAGAGCAAGCUGAGCCCAUGGAGGCAGAGCCCAUCGAUGAGGAAAGGGCUGCAGGGCCAGCUGCAGCCCAAGCUGAAGUCCCACCUGUAGAGCUUGUGCCAGCUCCACCUGCAGCUCCCUCCCCAGCUCUGGCACCACAGCCAGAGGCAGCGCCAGGAACCCCUUCUCCACCAGCUGCACAGCUGGGGAUCCUGGUGGUUGCACGGCGGGCAUCAGCUCCUGAGCUCCAGAAGGGGCAAGCUCCUGCCCCACCCCUGCCAUUCCCCUCCAUUACUCUUGGUCAUGUUUUGGCAUAUAGUUUUGCUCUUAUUUUCUGGGUUUAUGUAAAUAAUAG